CAAGGCGACGAUCCCUAGCUGGUCUGAGAGGAUGACCAGCCACACUGGAACUGAGACACGGUCCAGACUCCUACGGGAGGCAGCAGUGGGGAAUAUUGCACAAUGGGCGCAAGCCUGAUGCAGCCAUGCCGCGUGUAUGAAGAAGGCCUUCGGGUUGUAAAGUACUUUCAGCGGGGAGGAAGGUGUUGUGGUUAAUAACCGCAGCAAUUGACGUUACCCGCAGAAGAAGCACCGGCUAACUCCGUGCCAGCAGCCGCGGUAAUACGGAGGGUGCAAGCGUUAAUCGGAAUUACUGGGCGUAAAGCGCACGCAGGCGGUCUGUCAAGUCGGAUGUGAAAUCCCCGG
rnacentral:rRNA from 5 species